rnacentral:rRNA from 1 species
AAACUGGGAUUAGAUACCCCACUAUGCCUAGCCCUAAACAUUGGUAGUACGCUACACCCACUACCCGCCCGGGAACUACGAGCAUUAGCUUGAAACCCAAAGGACUUGGCGGUGCUUUAGAUCCACCUAGAGGAGCCUGUUCUAGAACCGAUAACCCCCGUUCAACCUCACCUUUUCUUGUUUUACCCGCCUAUAUACCACCGUCGUCAGCUUACCCUGUGAAGGCCUCAUAGUAAGCAAAAUUGGCACAGCCCAAAACGUCAGGUCGAGGUGUAGCGUAUGGAAAGGGAAGAAAUGGGCUACAUUCUCUAACGCAGAGAACACGGACAAUACACUGAAAUGUGUAUCCUGAAGGAGGAUUUAGCAGUAAGCAGGAAAUAGAGUGUCCUGCUGAAAUUGGCCCUGAAGCGCGCACACACCGCCCGCCGGUCACCCUC